AUCGCUUCUCGGCCUUUUGGCUAAGAUCAAAGUGUAGUGUUAGUUAGUUAGUUAGUGUAGUGUAGUAUUAGUUCUUAUCAGCUUAAUAUCUGAUACGGGUUCGAUAGGACCCCGGGUAUCAUAGACUGAUAGAUUUUUUGACCAAGUGGUGCUGCUGAUUGCCUGAAACCUUUUCGGGCAAUCUUGGCUCACUUCC